UAGAGUUGCAAAACUCCCUAAACCACUGUGAAUCUUACCUAUUGUUCGUUGCUCUGGCGGGCGGCUCCAGGGCGGAGCCACUGCCCGUUAGGUUGGGCGCCCGCCGGAGGACAACCAAAACUCACUGAAUCUCGGGUGAUCUCAGAGUACCAUAAAAACAAGCUAUCA
rnacentral:misc_RNA from 1 species